UACGGAGGAUGCAAGCGUUAUCCGGAAUGAUUGGGCGUAAAGCGUCCGCAGGUGGCUAUGUAAGUCUGCUGUUAAAGAGUGAGGCUCAACCUCAUAAGAGCAGUGGAAACUACAUGGCUAGAGUGCGUUCGGGGCGAGAGGGAAGUUCCUGGUGUAGCGGUGAAAUGCGUAGAGAUCAGGAAGAACACCGGUGGCGAAAGCGCUCUGCUAGGCCGCAACUGACACUCAUGGACGAAAGCUAGGGGAGCGAAUGGG
rnacentral:rRNA from 1 species